rnacentral:tRNA from 2 species
GCCCGGGUGGUGGAAUCGGUAGACACAAGGGACUUAAAAUCCCUCGGCUUUCAAGGCUGUGCGAGUUCAAGUCUCGCCCCGGGCACCA